CAGCAGCCGCGGGAAUACGGAGGGUGCAAGCGUUAUCCGGAUUUAUUGGGUUUAAAGGGUCCGUAGGCGGAUCUGUAAGUCAGUGGUGAAAUCUCACAGCUUAACUGUGAAACUGCCAUUGAUACUGCAGGUCUUGAGUAAAUUUGAAGUGGCUGGAAUAAGUAGUGUAGCGGUGAAAUGCAUAGAUAUUACUUAGAACACCAAUUGCGAAGGCAGGUCACUAAGAUUUAACUGACGCUGAUGGACGAAAGCGUGGGGAGCGAACAGGAUUAGAUACCCCCGUAGUCCAUGUCUCUUAUAA
rnacentral:rRNA from 1 species